GAGGAUGGCGGACGGGUGAGUAACGCGUAAGGAACUUGCCUCUUGGACUGGGACAACUGUUGGAAACGACAGCUAAUACCGGAUAUUAUGAGAUUCUCGCAUGAGAAACUUAUGAAAGCUAUAUGCGCCAAGAGAGAGCCUUGCGUUCCAUUAGCUAGUUGGUGGGGUAACGGCCCACCAAGGCGACGAUGGAUAGCCGGCCUGAGAGGGUGAACGGCCACAAGGGGACUGAGACACGGCCCUUACUCCUACGGGAGGCAGCAGUGGGGAAUAUUGGACAAUGGGCCACAAGCCUGAUCCAGCAAUUCUGUGUGCACGAUGAAGGUCUUCGGAUUGUAAAGUGCUUUCAGUUGGGAAGAAGAAAGUGACGGUACCAACAGAAGAAGCGACGGCUAAAUACGUGCCAGCAGCCGCGGUAAUACGUAUGUCGCAAGCGUUAUCCGGAUUUAUUGGGCGUAAAGCGCGUCUAGGCGGAAAAAUAAGUCUGAUGUUAAAAUGCGGGGCUCAACUCCGUAUUGCGUUGGAAACUGUUUUUCUAGAGUACUGGAGAGGUGGGCGGAACUACAAGUGUAGAGGUGAAAUUCGUAGAUAUUUGUAGGAAUGCCGAUGGAGAAGUCAGCUCACUGGACAGAUACUGACGCUGAAGCGCGAAAGCGUGGGGAGCAAACAGGAUUAGAUACCCUGGUAGUCCACGCCGUAAACGAUGAUCACU
rnacentral:rRNA from 1 species